rnacentral:tRNA from 1 species
GGGGCCGUAGCUCAAUGGGAGAGCGCCUGGUUCGCAAUCAGGAGGCUGAGGGUUCGACCCCCUUCGGCUCCACCA